UGAAGCCAGUCGAAGAUACCAGCUGGCUGCAACUGUUUAUUAAAAACACAGCACUGUGCAAACACGAAAGUGGACGUAUACGGUGUGACGCCUGCCCGGUGCUGGAAGGUUAAUUGAUGGGGUUAGCCGUAAGGCGAAGCUCCUGAUCGAAGCCCCAGUAAACGGCGGCCGUAACUAUAACGGUCCUAAGGUAGCGAAAUUCCUUGUCGGGUAAGUUCCGACCUGCACGAAUGGCGUAAUGAUGGCCAGGCUGUCUC
rnacentral:rRNA from 1 species